CGAAGGGGGCUAGCGUUGCUCGGAAUUACUGGGCGUAAAGGGCGCGUAGGCGGACAGUUUAGUCAGAGGUGAAAGCCCAGGGCUCAACCUUGGAAUUGCCUUUGAUACUGACUGUCUUGAGUUCGGGAGAGGUGAGUGGAAUGCCGAGUGUAGAGGUGAAAUUCGUAGAUAUUCGGCGGAACACCAGUGGCGAAGGCGACUCACUGGCCCGAUACUGACGCUGAGGCGCGAAAGCAUGGGGAGCAAACAGGAUUAGAUACCCUGGUAGUCCACGCUGUAAACGAUGAGUGCCAGUUGUCGGCAUGCAUGCAUGUCGGUGACGCAGCUAACGCAUUAAGCACUCCGCCUGGGGAGUACGGUCGCAAGAUUA
rnacentral:rRNA from 1 species